rnacentral:rRNA from 1 species
UGGGGAAUCUUCCGCAAUGGGCGCAAGCCUGACGGAGCAACGCCGCGUGAAUGAAGAAGGUCUUCGGAUCGUAAAGUUCUGUUCUUAGGGAAGAAGUCUUAGGUUGUGAAUAAUGACUUAAGGUGACGGUACCUAUGGAGAAAGCUCCGGCUAACUACGUGCCAGCAGCCGCGGUAAUACGUAGGGAGCGAGCGUUGUCCGGAAUUACUGGGCGUAAAGGGCGCGUAGGCGGGAACUUAAGUUAGAUGUGAAAACUCCGGGCUUAACCUGGAGACUGCAUUUAAAACUGGGUUUCUUGAGGGC